rnacentral:rRNA from 1 species
GACGAACGCUGGCGGCGUGCUUAACACAUGCAAGUCGAGCGGAAAGACCCCUUCGGGGGCACUCGAGCGGCGAACGGGUGAGUAACACGUGGGUAAUCAACCCCUGACAUCGGGAUACCCCGGGGAAACCCGGAUCAAUACCGGAUAAGGUGCGGAGGCGCAGGCCGCCGUACCAAAGGUAGCUUCGGCUUCCGGUCAGGGACGAGCCCGCGGCCCAUUAGCUUGUUGGUGGGGUAAUGGCCUACCAAGG